AAGGUUAAGGUACUUGCCGUGUGGUUGAAAACUCAUUUAAUACAGGGAAGAAUGGCAUGGCCCCUGCACAAGGGGGACACAGAAAUUCAUGAAGUGCUCCAUAUUUUU